rnacentral:rRNA from 1 species
ACCCGCUGAACUUAAGCAUAUCACUAAGCGGAGGAAAAGAAACUAACUAGGAUGUCCUUAGUAACGGCGAGUGAAGUGGACAAAGCCCAAGAUGGAAAUCUUCGUAAGACGAAUUGUAAUCUAGAGGUUUUUCUCAUAACAAGUAAUAGUGCAGAAGUGCCUUGGAAUAGGUCGCCAAAGAAGGUGAUAGCCCUGUAUGUGGUACUGUUACUAAUAAUUGAGAUUUACCAAAGAGUCGGGUUGUUUUGUAUUGCAGCCCUAAGUGGGAGAUAAACUUCUUCUAAGGCUAAAUAUAUGUGGGAAACCGAUAGCGAACAAGUACUGUGAAGGAAAGAUGAAAAGCACUUUGAAAAGAGAGUCUAAAGACCUGAAACCGUUGAGGAGGAAGCGGUAGAGAUGAAUUCUAGGUGAGGCACGGAGAAAGUAAAAUUUACUUAUUUGUGUGUUAUCUUGAGACCAGAUGGAGUGAUAAGAAUACAGAGGCCUCUUUCGAUGGGUUUCUCUCGGGAAAUAGCUUAAGAGUGUCGGUAUUUUUAUGGCUUGAGGGUGCUUUGUGCGAUCUGGUCAAAAUGGUCUUUACCGGCUCGUCUUGAAACACGAACCAAGGAGUCUAACGUACGCGCGAGUGUGCCGGUGGAAAAACCGAUACGCGGAAUUAACGUAAGAGAUGCCAAACGCAAGUGGCAGCAUCGACCGACCAUGAUUCUUUGAUGAAAGGUUUGAGUACGAGCGCGUCCGCUAGGACCCGAAAGAUGGUGAACUAUGCCUGCGUAGGGUGAAGCCAGGGGAAACUCUGGUGGAAGCUCGAAGCGAUACUGACGUGCAAAUCGUUCGUCGAACGUGGGUAUAGGGGCGAAAGACUAAUCGAACCAUCUAGUAGCUGGUUCCCUCCGAAGUUUCCCUCAGGAUAGCUGGGACAAUUGCGCAGUUUUAUUAGGUAAAGCGAAUGAUUAGAGGAAUCGGGGGCUACAUGCCCUCGACCUAUUCUCAAACUUUAAAUUGGUAAGAACCCGGGCCUUUCUUAAGUGAGGCUCCGGGGCUCAAUGCGUGUCCUUAGUGGGCCAUUUUUGGUAAGCAGAACUGGCGAUGAGGGUUGCUCCUAACGUUGGGUUAAGGCGCCAAACUGUGCGCUCAUCAGAAACUACAAAGGGUGUUGGUCCAUCUAGACAGCAGGACGGUGGCCAUGGAAGUCGGAAUCCGCUAAGGAGUGUGUAACAACUCACCUGCCGAAUGGACUAGCCCCGAAAAUGGAUGGCGCUUAAGCGCACGGCCGAUACCCAACCAUCGCCGCGAGAGUGAGGCGGCGAUGAGUAGGAGGGCGUGGGCAUCGUAUAGAAGCCUCUGGCGUAAGCCUGGGUCGAACGGUGUCUAGUGCAGAUCUUGGUGGUAGUAGCAAUUAUUCAAAUGAGAAUUUUGAAGGCCGAAGUGGAGAAGGUUUCCGUGAGAACAGAAAUUGGUCACGGGUGACUCGAUCCUAAGACAUGGGGGAAGUCCCUAUUAAUUGUGCGCUUGCACGUAGUCGAAAGGGAAUGAGGUUAAUAUUCCUCAAGCUGGAUGUGGGUGUUUUAUGGUAACAUAAGUGAGCUUAGGAACGCCGGCACGAACCUCUGGAAGAGUUAUCUUUUCUUUUUAACAGACUAGCGGCCCUGAAAUGGUAUUAUACCGAGCUAGGGCGGCAUGUCUGGAAGAGCGCCUCGCUUUCCGAGGCGUCAGGUGCGCUCGUGACGGUCCGUGAAAACCUAAGUGAAAUAGUUUCACACCAGGUCGUACCCAUAACCGCAUCAGGUCUCCAAGGUU